rnacentral:tRNA from 1 species
UGGCUCAGUGGUAGAGCACUUGUCUUGUAUGCAUGAGGCCCUGGGUUCGAUUCCUUA